GAUUUCAAUUGAAAAAGUCAUCAACAACAAAGUUGAAUAACUCAUCAAGAUCUAGAACUUUUAUUUUUGUUAUUUCUUCAUCCGACAAAAUGUUAGCAAUAUUAUUCACAAAUUUUACAUAUAUGUGUUAUAGUUUAUAAAACCAGAUAAGAGAUAUGUUAAUUUUGUGAACAAUGUUACUGUCACUUUGUCGUAUGAAGAAAUGACCAAAAUAAAAGUUUUAGAUCUUGAUGAGUUAUUCAACUUUGUUGUUGAUGACUUUUUCAGUUGAUAUC
rnacentral:pre_miRNA from 1 species